AGACCUCAGGUCAGGCCGGGCUAC
rnacentral:rRNA from 1 species